CGAAUUCGCCCUUAGAGUUUGAUCCUGGCUCAGAUUGAACGCUGGCGGCAGGCCUAACACAUGCAAGUCGAGCGGAUGAGAAGAGCUUGCUCUUCGAUUCAGCGGCGGACGGGUGAGUAAUGCCUAGGAAUCUGCCUGGUAGUGGGGGACAACGUUUCGAAAGGAACGCUAAUACCGCAUACGUCCUACGGGAGAAAGCAGGGGACCUUCGGGCCUUGCGCUAUCAGAUGAGCCUAGGUCGGAUUAGCUAGUUGGUGGGGUAAUGGCUCACCAAGGCGACGAUCCGUAACUGGUCUGAGAGGAUGAUCAGUCACACUGGAACUGAGACACGGUCCAGACUCCUACGGGAGGCAGCAGUGGGGAAUAUUGGACAAUGGGCGAAAGCCUGAUCCAGCCAUGCCGCGUGUGUGAAGAAGGUCUUCGGAUUGUAAAGCACUUUAAGUUGGGAGGAAGGGCAGUAAGUUAAUACCUUGCUGUUUUGACGUUACCAACAGAAUAAGCACCGGCUAACUCUGUGCCAGCAGCCGCGGUAAUACAGAGGGUGCAAGCGUUAAUCGGAAUUACUGGGCGUAAAGCGCGCGUAGGUGGUUCGUUAAGUUGGAUGUGAAAUCCCCGGGCUCAACCUGGGAACUGCAUCCAAAACUGGCGAGCUAGAGUAGGGCAGAGGGUGGUGGAAUUUCCUGUGUAGCGGUGAAAUGCGUAGAUAUAGGAAGGAACAUCAGUGGCGAAGGCGGCCACCUGGACCAACACUGACACUGAGGCACGAAAGCGUGGGUAGCAAACAGGAUUAGAUACCCUGG
rnacentral:rRNA from 1 species